UUGCAUAGUCUCAUAAGUGCCA
rnacentral:miRNA from 3 species